rnacentral:rRNA from 1 species
UACGGGGGAUGCAAGCGUUAUCCGGAAUUAUUGGGCGUAAAGGGUCCUGAGGUGGCUAGCCAAGUCUAUUGUGAAAUAUCAGGGCUUAACCCUGAACAUGCGGUGGAAACUAGAAAGCUUGAGUACAGUAGGGGCGGAGGGAAUUUCCCGGUGGAGCGGUGAAAUGCAUAGAUAUCGGGAAAGAACACCAACGGCGAAAGCACUCCGUGC